CAGUCGCCGCGGUAAUACGGAGGGGGCUAGCGUUGUUCGGAUUUACUGGGCGUAAAGGGCGCGUAGGCGGGCGAAUAAGUCAGGGGUGAAAUCCCAAGGCUCAACCUUGGAACUGCCUUUGAUACUGUUUGUCUUGAGUUCGAGAGAGGUAAGUGGAACUGCGAGUGUAGAGGUGAAAUUCGUAGAUAUUCGCAAGAACACCAGUGGCGAAGGCGGCUUACUGGCUCGAAACUGACGCUGAGGCGCGAAAGCGUGGGGAGCAAACAGGAUUAGAUACCCGCGUAGUCCCUGUCUCUUAUAC
rnacentral:rRNA from 1 species